AAUCAAAGAAAAGAAAUCAUAUAAUUAUAGUUCCAAGGAUCACUUAAUCAGAUGGCUGGAGCUAGAAGACUUCUACCCAUUGUUAGCAUUUUCAUCAUCAUUUUAUUAUUAGGUUAUGAGGAAGCAACGACUGAGGCUACUGUGAUGGGUCAUCUUUUACCGUUUGCUGACAUUCCUGGCAUUGAUUUGAAAUGUUGCGCUAACAACCGUAUACAUUGCAUUCCAAGUACUGAGGAUGAACCCUAUUGUAAUUACCUUUGCACAUGGAAAUGCGGUAAAGGAGGCACUUGCAAAGUUAUUAACAACAUACAAUAUUGUCAUUGUGGGUGCUAAUUACUUUAUUUACUUCAUUGUUAUCUUGUGAUGACAAUUGGUUGAAGGAU